ensembl:lncRNA
AUGCCAGUUUUAAAGCCAGAUAAAUAUCAAGCAACCUGCAAGCGAAGUUACAUAGCAGCUGAGAGAGUGACAGUCAAGCCCAUCAUGACUGGGGACACUCGGAUACAGCAGAAGCACAGGAACUUGAUUUUGAAAUCAGAUUGCAUACUUGGAACUACCACUGUUCCCUACUUAAGCUCCUUGGCAGAGAUGCUAGCUGAAUGUGCACAUCGCCGAAAAACAUUGCCCAGACGGACGGCGGCAAAUACACUCUGGGCAAGCAACUCAUCUCCCAGCUGCAGCCACAGAGCUGUGUCUGGAGUCCUGCAGGUGGCUGGCUGGUCAAGCUGGAAGAGCAGGGUUUGGGUGAUGUCUGCUUCUGAGUCACAUUCCGGGACAUGUGAGUAUUUUAGGCUAAAGGAGAAAAGUCCAGUAGACAUGCAGGGAGCCUUCCUCAUGUACUUGAAAGGAAAGACCUGCUCUAUGUUGUUCUUAAAAGGCCAAUAUUUUGAAAUUCCAAAGGGCAGGCUCAAAAUGAAACAUCUUAAACAUUUAAGCCAUCCAACAAUGACAUUGACUUCCUGGGGUAUUAUUGAUCUCCCCUCCUCCAUGAAGUUCUAAAUGUUGGAGCUCCUCAAAUUUCAGUUUGCGGCAGUCUUUCUACACAACUUUUUUCAGCUCUUCAUUGAGUUCCAUUGUUCUGAAUACCAUGAACGUGUGAUAACCCAUUAUUUUCUCCAGCCAAAUAUCAUCUGUAAUCUCAUCUAUUCAACCAUCUCUGUGACCUUUCACUUGAAUGUUUCAUGAGCAUCUCAAUAUGUAAAGAAUACAACUCUUAAUUCCUCCUCAUACCUUUAUCCCAAAGUCUAAUUGUUGUCCUUGUUCUGCCCGCUCUCAGUCAAUGCCACCAUCAUCUACCUGUUUUGUGUCUUGAACUCCUGGCCUCUCUCUGCCUGUCCCACUCAAAGCACUUCAAAUCAAUUGCCUCCACACUUGGACAGAAAACACCAGUGUGUUACUCAUUGGGUUUCCUUAGAGCACUGGCACACAGUAAUAAUAUUUGAUGAAUCAGGGAAAGAUGUAGAAUGUUCAUCAAGAAAUACUAAUAAUUCCUAUAAUCUAUCAAGCAUCCACCAUGUGAUAGGUGCUUUAAAUAUUAUAAAUCUAUCCCUAACAGCAACUCUUCAAAGUAGGUAGACAAGAAGAAAUCUCAUUGAACUAAGAGUUUGGUAGGGUUUUGCUUUUAUGAAUUUUAUUGGGUACUUACUAUGGUUGGAUGCUUUCUAUGGCAUUUAUCAUGACAAACAUCAGCAUAUUGCUAGGUGUUUUAUAUAUAUUAUGUCAUUUAAUCCUUAUCAAUACCUCUAGGGUAGGUUUUAUGUGCCAUAUUUUGUGGAUGAGGAAGCUGAGUCUAAUAGAAAUUAAUCAACUUGGCUGAAGUCAAACAUUAACCAGAAAGUACUGGCUGGUAUUUAAGCCCCAGUUCAUUUGCCUCCUGAGGCUAUAUAUUUCUCAGCUUUAUCACAGAAUAAGCUCCAUCAAGGGUGCCAACAUUUUAUGAAAUGUUUCAGUAAGUCAUCUUUUAAGUUUCUUCUAAUCAGAAUUUUCAUAAUUAUAUAAAAACUCCUUUAGCUCUUCAUUACUCUACCACUUAAAAAAAUAAAAAUAACUUUGUAAAUUUCUUAGAAAAUCUAUAGAUGUUCUAAACCUACACAGAAAUCCCACCUGAUAUGAUCGUAAAGACAUUUCUCUUUUUUGUAAGCUUCGGCAUUUUUCAAAAUAGAAUUCCCAUCUAAUUAAUAUCUGGACCAAAUUAACCAGCUUGGCAAUGAUUCCUAGAGCCACAAUAACAGAUACACAGUGCAGGACGCUACCACAGGGCUGACUCACUACACAGAACAUCUAGUCGCUCAAGGAUUAUUGCUCUCAAUGAUCCAAAUUUAUUGGCGACUAUUCUGAGUACCUCUGAACAAAGAAGACCUUAAUACAAUUAGCAUAUUGCUAAAAAGAGAAAUGUCAAUGCUAAAAUUCUCUACCUAUUUGUAUUUAGCUCAUUUGAGUCCUUAAUUCUAUUUAUUGUAGUUACACAAUUAUAUGGAAAUAAUUGCAUGUCAACUCCUCCAAUCUACCAUCAUGCUAAAGAAGGAAAUUAACAACAAUGCCCCAUAUAACAAAUAGUUGCAAAAAGAAAAGAGUAAUGUGAAAGUCAAGUGAAAUAAUGGACAACUGAAACACUGGGAAUGCAGUGUCAUUUUUUCUGAGCAAUUCAAGAUGUUCAGAUGCAAUAAACCUAUGUGUGAAGUCAGGAGAUUGAGGCCAAGGAAGAAAUACCAAGAAAUCUUGACUUCUCUUUUUGCCCAGCACAAGUAGUCUUGGCAAAAAUGUCACUUUUCCUUCCUGUUAAUCUAUAUCAGGCUCUAAACUAAUCAGGACAAACUGCUCUUUACAUUCACAAGAUAAAAGUAUUCUGAAUAAUUUCAGAAAUUAUUUGCACCCACAUAAUGAUGCUGCUGCUGCUAAGUUGCAUCAGUCAUGUCCGACUCUGUGCGACCCCAUAGACGGCAGCCCACCAGGCUCCUCUGUCCCUGGGAUUUUCCAGGCAAGAAUACUGGAGUGAGCUGCCAUUUCCUUCUCAAUGCAUGCAUGCAUGCUAAGUCGCUUCAGUUGUGUCCAACUCUGUGUGACCCCAUGGACAGCAGCCCACCAGGCUCCUCUGUCCAUGGAAUUCUCUAGGCAAGAAUACUGGAGUGCAUUGCCAUUUCCUUCUCCACCACAUAAUGAUAGCAGAUACUUAUUCAAUGUUACCAGGUGCUGUUUUAAGUAGAGCCAGGAUUAGAACACAGGGAAUCUGGCUCCACACUGUGCUCUUAUUUGUCACAC